rnacentral:rRNA from 1 species
CGUAUAUUAAAGUUGUUGCAGUUAAAAAGCUCGUAGUUGGAUUUGUGGCAUAUAGUGUGUUCCAGGCACUUGUUUGUCUGAGUAACCUGCUGUUGCCAUCCUUGGGUGGAACCUGUGUGGCAUUAGGUUGUCGUGCAGGGGAUGCCCAUCAUUUACUGUGAAAAAAUUAGAGUGUUCAAAGCAGGCUUAUGCCGUUGAAUAUAUUAGCAUGGAAUAAUGAGAUAGGACUUUUUUACUAUUUUGUUGGUUUGCAUAUAGAGGUAAUGAUUAAUAGGGACAGUUGGGGG